UCUACCUUGAGCUACGGGAUAACAGAGAGAAAUUUCUGCUAAUACCGUAUGUGGCCUUUGGGCGAAAGAUUUAUCGGCUUAAGAUGAGCCCGCGUUGGAUUAGCUGGUUGGUGGGGUAAAGGCCUACCAAGGCGACGAUCCAUAGCUGGUCUGAGAGGAUGAUCAGCCACACUGGGACUGAGACACGGCCCAGACUCCUACGGAAGGCAGCAGUGGGGAAUAUUGGACAAUGGGCGCAAGCCUGAUCCAGCCAUGCCGCGUGAGUGAAGAAGGCCUUAGGGUUGUAAAGCUCUUUCACCGGUGAAGAUAAUGACGGUAGCCGGAGAAGAAGCCCCGGCUAACUUCGUGCCAGCAGCCGCGGUAAUACGAAGGGGGCUAGCGUUGUUCGGAUUUACUGGGCGUAAAGCGCGCGUAGGCGGAUAGAUAAGUCAGAGGUGAAAUCCCGGGGCUCAACCCCGGAAUUGCCUUUGAUACUGUUUAUCUUGAGUGCAGAAGAGGUAAGUGGAAUUCCGAGUGUAGAGGUGAAAUUCGUAGAUAUUCGGAGGAACACCAGUGGCGAANGCGGCUUACUGGUCUGCAACUGACGCUGANGCGCGAAAGCGUGGGGAGCAAACAGGANUAGAUACC
rnacentral:rRNA from 2 species